GGAGGAAAAGAAACUAACAAGGAUUCCCCUAGUAACGGCGAGUGAACCGGGAAGAGCUCAAAUUUGAAAUCUGGCGUCCUCAGGGCGUCCGAGUUGUAAUCUAUAGAGGCGUUUUCCGUGCCGGACCGUGUCCAAGUUCCUUGGAACAGGAUAUCAAAGAGGGUGACAAUCCCGUACUUGACACGACGACCGGUGCUCUGUGAUACGUCUUCUACGAGUCGAGUUGUUUGGGAAUGCAGCUCAAAAUGGGUGGUGAGUUCCAUCUAAAGCUAAAUAUUGGCGAGAGACCGAUAGCGAACAAGUACCGUGAGGGAAAGAUGAAAAGCACUUUGGAAAGAGAGUUAAACAGUACGUGAAAUUGUUGAAAGGGAAACGAUUGAAGUCAGUCGUGACCGAGAGGCUCAGCCGGUUCUGCCGGUGUAUUCCCCUCGGUCGGGUCAACAUCAGUUUUGUCCGGUGGAUAAGGGCGGUAGGAAGGUGGCACCCUCGGGUGUGUUAUAGCCUGCCGUCGCAUACAUCGGGUGAGACUGAGGAACGCAGCUCGCCUUUAUGGCCGGGGUUCGCCCACGUCCGAGCUUAGGAUGUUGACAUAAUGGCUUUAAACGACCCGUC
rnacentral:rRNA from 1 species